rnacentral:lncRNA from 1 species
UGAUUUUAGGUUUUAAACUCAAAUUCGCGACUAUGGUUAUUUUUAAUUGUGAAUUCUAACUUUAAAAUUUGAAUUCACAACCUAUAUCCGAGUUGUGAAUUCAUCGUGAAAUUGAGAACAGUAGCAAUACACACUCGAUUAAAUCACAUUUUAUUACAAAAAUAAAGUUAUAUUUAAAGUUAUACAAAAAUCACCUAGCUUGCUUAUACCAACACUCAAAUUUCAGAUUUCUUCGCUGAGACAUUCUGUCGAACUGUUGGCGGACAUUCUUAUUCUUCCAUUUGCACUGCCGCAGCCAACGCCGCUCCCGCCACAAACGGCGGCGGAGGUGGACGCCACAAGUAUGCAGCCGAGGGUGGAGGAGAGAGAGAAAAUAAAAGUGAGAAGAAUCAAAGAUAUGUCGCCCUUUAGCAACCAAAAAAAAAAAACUCCAUUGUUAACCUAAUAUUUUCAAUUCAACUAACGUAAUUCAUCAUAUUCAAAUGUUCAGUUCACAUUUAAACCAAUCAAACCAGUAAGUCGAGGAUUAGCACUGAUGGAUAAAUGUUCAGUUCAAAAAUGGUGAAUUAAUUCAUCAUUUCCCAAAAAUCAAGAAACUCAUUUCAAACUUGUAUUUUGCAUUGACUAGUAAAUAAAGUAGAUAAGUUAAGAAAAGCUUCGUCUCAUUUUCCAAUGGGAAAACAAAAACGCCGCAAAUAGUGUCUGUUGCUUUCGCCUCAGAAUUCAAUAUUGUUAGAAAUGGAUAUUGGGUCCAUUUCUCUCUUAAAAGGCCUUAUAAGGGAGAAUGAUACGCCAAGCCCAUCCCCUAGCUUGGCCCUAUUAUGAUCUAGCCCAUUAGCCCAUUAGGUUUUUAUUAUUAGGUAUAAAUAAUGUAAUCUCUAAGUUUAUUGGAUAUGAAAUGAAUAUGUUGGUUGUUUUGUCAAAUCUCUCCCUUCUCUCUUGAUUUAUGGAGUUUGAGNAUAAUUAAAUAGAUCAUUUUAACGUUUAGCAAAGCUCAAACUAAUUUUAAAAGUUCAAAUUAAUGUUUAAAGCCCAUUAUUUAAUUCUAUGAAUUAUUUUAAAAGCCCUAUAGGCAAAUUCUAUUUCUCUCUCUCUCUACUCUUUCACCUUCUCCAUUUUCAUUCUCUUCUUGUGUGGGUGCAGCGAGUCCACGUAAAUAUUACUUUAAAAAAAUCGAAGUGCAUCACCGUUGAUACGGAUCCGUAUCAAUGGUGGAGCAAUUCGAGUCGCUCAAACUCCAUAAAUCAAGAGAGAAGAGAGAGAUUUGACAAAACCAAAAUAUUCAUUUCAUAUCCAAUAAACUUAGAGAUUACAUUAUUUAUACCUAAUAAUAAAAACCUAAUGGGCUAAUGGGCUAGAUCAUAAUAGGGCCAAGCUAGGGGAUGGGCUUGGCGUAUCAUUCCCCACCCCUUCACAAUCACCUUGUCCUCAAGGUGAAGCUACAAAAAAUGGUGAUGGGAGUACAAGAUUCGGCCCACUAAUUGCAAAAACAAAACUAAAUAGUGCCGAAAUAACAACUGCCCGACAACUUCUUGAUAAAAGCUACGACUGAAAAUCAACUAAGAAGCUUGAUAAACUACGCCCACCAUAUGCUCGACAAAAGCUCCGGCUAAAAACUGAUGCGGAUCAGCUAGGCAUGCCCACGAGAUCCGGCGGCGGUUCGCCACAUAGCUGGACUUCUUGACCAAGUCCACGAUCCUUCUCCUUGACAUCGACGGCGUGAUGUGGCGCGGACAAUAGCAGAGACAAGCCUUGAGGCCGUGGAAGAACCCCAAUUUUAUAAUCUCGGAGAAAGCAACGGAGACGGGCCUGGGCACUUGGGCCGUGGGCAGCCACAAUCAAAGCUUUAGGGCCACUCAUAUUGGGCCCAAAUAUAUUGAUUGGGUUGGGCUCUUCAUUCUUAGACUUGGGCCCAAUCGAAAUCUGAAACAACUGAUUCAACGUCUCAUGAGAAACCCUGACUCGCCACAGAUUAAUUGAAGUUAUCGGUAACCAUGUUAAAAAUUGAUAUUGAGUCAAUUCCUCCCUUAAAAGGCCUUAGAAGGGAGAGGGUUGCCUCAUCAUAUAAAGUGGCUCAUGCCACUAUCUCCAAUUCAACGUGGGACACUUCAAUAUAUUGACUAUAUCACGCA